UUGACACAGACUCUCUCUCUCUCUCUCUCUCUCUCUCUCUCUCUCACACACACACACACACACAGAGAGAGAGAGAGAGAGAGAGAGAGAGAAUGAAUUUGGGG
rnacentral:miRNA from 1 species